rnacentral:rRNA from 1 species
AUUGCCCCAGUAACGGCGAGUGAAGCGGCAUGAGCUCAAAUUUUAAAUCUGGCGUCUCCGGCGUCCCGAGUUGUAAUUUGGAGAGGCAUCUUCGGGGGAUAGCGUCAGACUAUGUUCCUUGGAACAGGACGUCACAGAGGGUGAGAAUCCCGUGCCCGCCUGGCUGUCUGGUCCCUUGUGAAGUGCCUUCUACGAGUCGAGUUGUUUGGGAAUGCAGCUCCAAGUGGGUGGUAAAUUUCAUCUAAAGCUAAAUACGGGCGAGAGACCGAUAGCGCACAAGUAGAGUGAUCGAAAGAUGAAAAGCACUUUGAAAAUAGAGUUAAAAAGUACGUGAAAUUGUUGAAAGGGAAGCGCUUGAGACCAGACUCAGCCCCCAGCAAACAGCCUGCCCGUGUCAACGGGCGGCGCACUUGCCUCGGGGCUGGGCCAGCAUCGGUUGGGGUGGCGGGAAAAAGGCGACGGGAAUGUGGCUCCUGAGAAGGAGUGUUAUAGCCCGGCUGCGCGUAAUACCGCCCACCCCCACCGAGGGCCGCGCCACGGCGAGGAUGCUGGCACAAUGGCCUUCAGCGACCCGUCUUGAAACACGGACCAAGGAGUCUAACAUCUAUGCGAGUGUUUGGGCGUCAAACCCUUGCGCGGAAUGAAAGUGAAUGGAGGUGGGACGCGACCCCCUCGGGGGGAACUGCACCAUCGACCGAUCCUGAUGUCCUCGGAUGGAUUUGAGUAGGAGCAUAGCUGUUGGGACCCGAAAGAUGGUGAACUAUGCCUGAAUAGGGUGAAGCCAGAGGAAACUCUGGUGGAGGCUCGCAGCGGUUCUGACGUGCAAAUCGAUCGUCAAAUUUGGGUAUAGGGGCGAAAGACUAAUCGAACCAUCUAGUAGCUGGUUCCUGCCG